AGCAUAUCAAUAAGCGGAGGAAAAGAAACCAACAGGGAUUGCCCUAGUAACGGCGAGUGAAGCGGCAACAGCUCAAAUUUGAAAUCUGGCUCUUUUAGAGUCCGAGUUGUAAUUUGCAGAGGGCGCUUUGGCUUUGGCAGCGGUCCAAGUUCCUUGGAACAGGACGUCACAGAGGGUGAGAAUCCCGUACGUGGUCGCUGGCUAUUGCCGUGUAAAGCCCCUUCGACGAGUCGAGUUGUUUGGGAAUGCAGCUCUAAAUGGGAGGUACAUUUCUUCUAAAGCUAAAUAUUGGCCAGAGACCGAUAGCGCACAAGUAGAGUGAUCGAAAGAUGAAAAGCACUUUGGAAAGAGAGUCAAACAGCACGUGAAAUUGUUGAAAGGGAAGCGCUUGCAGCCAGACUUGCUUACAGUUGCUCAUCCGGGUUUUUACCCGGUGCACUCUUCUGUAGGCAGGCCAGCAUCAGUUUGGGCGGUAGGAUAAAGGUCUCUGUCACGUACCUCCUUUCGGGGAGGCCUUAUAGGGGAGACGACAUACUACCAGCCUGGACUGAGGUCCGCGCAUCUGCUAGGAUGCUGGCGUAAUGGCUGUAAGCGGCCCG
rnacentral:rRNA from 1 species